ensembl:lncRNA
UUACAAAAGGACUCCUGGUUCCAGCUGCUCUGUCACCCAUCAGUUGGGUGCACAGCCAUCCACAGCAGCCCUGAUCCUAUAGAACACAUGGUGUGAUAGAAGCAGCACUGACCACCAAAUCUUGGUAUUAACCAUAUGGCCUUUGGUAAAUCACCUAAAAAUUCCUCAUAACUUAGUUUCUUCAUCUUGGAUUCCAGUCCUGUGGGGCUGGUUGAGAUAAGGACUAAGAUGAGGCUUAAAAAACAGACAUGGGCCCCAUCAAUAUGUUCUAGCCAGAAAGAGAGGGGGAAAAGGCUGGCCUGGAGUUGAGGCAUUAACAUUCCUCUAAUAUAAGAACAUCCCAGGACUCUUUAUUAAGAGGUACAUUAUGUGACUAAACGGCUAUCUUGGAUCAAACUGUGAGAGACAUGUGUUCCCACUUCUACCCCAUUGCUCCCUUCUGGGGCCUUUUCCCUUACAAGUAUCACACCCAGUUCCCCCAUCACACCCUGGCUGCCCUGGGCCUACUGGGAAUUCCCUCCCAGAGAAGUUUGCUUCCCUGAAUUCCCAAGUCAGUCCAUUCCUUGCCUCAUUCUUCAUCCCUCAGCUUAGAGAUCACAGCGGGGAAGAAUGAGGAUUACUGAAUGGACUCUCACUCAGGCAGCAGGCCAGAGCACCCAACUAAGGAAACUCGAGACCAUGAGAAGCCACUGGAAUUCUGUGAGCAGGAGAAUGACAUUGUAACAUGACCAAAGGUAUGUGUUUGGAAAAGAAAUCUGGCUAUAGAAUAAUACUUGAAUUGGAGGAUGUGGAAUUGAGCAUGGAAAUAACUGUUGAGGCUGUUAGAGUAUUUGGGAGCAGAGACUGGACAUUGAGAGCAGAAAAAGAAGGCUGGCUUGAUGGGGCAUGGGGUCUUAUUGGGGGAGAGAGAAAUAGAGAGAGAGUUGGGUUAAAAGGAGGCCUAGGGGACUGAGAUUUAGAGGCUGCAGCGAAAGUUUGUGAGUGAGGGGAUGAAGGGAUUGGGGUUUGGAUAUGCUCCUGGUUGGCUGCCAUGAUGGCUCAGUGGUAAAGAAUCCGCCUGCAAUGCAAGAGACACAGGUUCAAUCCCUGGGUAAGGAAGAUCCCCUGGAGGAGGAAAUGGCAACCCACUCCAGUAUUGUUGCCUGGAAAAUCCCAUAGACAGAGGAGCUUGGGGGCCUGCAGUCCAUGGGGUCACAAAGAAUCAGAGCUACUGAGCAUGCCUGCCUGCACAUGCCCUGGGAUGGUCUCUGCGCUCUGGGUGGAGUGGUGGGAAGCUCGUGUCAGGUGGCUGAGGCUCCUUUGUGCCACCCAAGGCCACGUGGGACACGGUUGCUGUGGGCUCCAUCCAGUCUAACCCCCAGGGCUCCCAGCAGACAACACCCUACUCUCUGUGAGUCUGGCCAAGCCUGGGCUCCGGGCAAGUUCUGCCCAGGAUCCCUGAGCCCUGAGACGUCUCGGAGGACAGCCAAGGACAGCCAGGGCAACCCCAUCAGAGGCAGGUGGAGGCCAUGCCAAGUUACCCUGGCAGCUGCGUGGGUGGGCCAGAUUGCUUUCUAAUUACAUUUUGCUUUAGACAAGACAAAAUCGUGUCUCUUAAAAAGCAUGUAUGUGGAGUCGGGGUGCAUCCAGAGAAGGUCAGGCCUCCUGGAAAUCGGGAGCAGUCAGUCAGGUUACAGAAUUCAUUUGCAUCCCAGGGACUCCAUGUGCGACCCCGUGGCCCGUUGGGGACGCAUUCUGGA